UUGCUACAAACGACAAAAGAACAUUUCGUUUUAAAAUGGGGCUCACAAUUUUUGCAUAUUUUGCGGCUGGUAUAGGUAUUGCUAUGGUUGCUUUGCGAAUUUUCUUUAAGUACUCAUGCUGUUCCAGAAUGCACGAGGAGACCCUCGAAACUGAAUUCAAUCAUAUCCCUGAUGCUCCACUUCCAAGCGCUCCUGUUAGUGACGUAGAAAUUUGCAUAUUGCAAAACGAGCCGCUCCCAAAUUACGACUCGGUCAUAUUAACUGAUCCAGUUGAAUCAACUCUAACUCUUGUUGACGAAACCUGUCCACCUCCAAGUUAUGCAGAAUAUUUACAGAAUUAUGGUUUAACCAGAUGACAAUUAUUGGCAUUUGUAUCAUACAAAUUGUACAAGAGAAAUAAAAACCCAAUUAUAUUUAA